AUGCUGCUGUGCCUCCAGCCGGACUCCCUGGUGUGGGUGAGACUUCUGCCUAUCACAAACCAUCCUCUGGGAUGGUUCUGCAAAGUCUUGGGGGACCUUCUGCAUCCUCAGAGAGCAGAGGUCUGCCUUACACCUGCUAGGAUGUGUGCGGGAGGAGAGAAAGCAGGUCCUGGAGUAGUCCUGUGGGAGAAAAGACAGCCUCUCUUGUCUUUCACCCUGAAGAGGUCCAAGCGGAAGGCAGCGCUGAUGCAGAGGAGCAUAUCGAGGUCCCUCCCAUGCAGGAUGGAAGCGAGGACUGGGCGGCACUCCUCGCCAGGACCUGCUCAGCGCUCAGAAAGCUCUGCCUGGUUCAGCUUGAGGAAAUAAUUCAGGGGGGGCUCCUGGGAGAGCAGCAGCAGCCCUGGAGAAAAAGGUUGGAACCAUGCCUGUUGGCGAACCAGGCUCUUCACCAUCUCAUCUGUGACCUGACGUUGGAGGUGAGGUUAAUCAGGUCCCAUCCCUGCAAGUAAGUGCCGUCGUGCUUACAAAACGUGGUCGGGCCAGCAGCAAUGGCUGAGCAGCAGCAAUGUUGAUGUUUUGGUAGGCUGUGAUGUUGGCAUCCACGUUGGUUUUGUAACAGUUAAAUUGAGCGGCCCCAUGGGGUGAGCAGGAUUAUUCACUCACACCGCUGAGAGCAGCUGCCUUGCCGGGUCUGCCCACAGCCUCAGGAAGGUGCCUGCAUUAUCCCAAACCCCACCCCUGCAGCCAAAGCAGUGCUGGGCAUCCGUGUGGGCAGCGAGAUAGCUGGCACGGUGCCUGGGCGCCUUGCCUGUUCACAUUCUUCUGUCUUUCCUACCGCCCUUGUGCUCUUUGGGAUCUUGGUUGUAACAUAGGCACCACACACUGCUGGGGUCCCCUGCCUUCUGCCUGGCUUCUGCCUGCUUUCUGGCCCUGCUCUACCAGCCCACGCUGUUUCCAGACAGCCUGGAAGAGCACUGCAGCAGAAGUCUAUACAGGCAGUGUAGCACAGGUUUGACG
rnacentral:lncRNA from 1 species